rnacentral:rRNA from 1 species
AUUGAACGCUGGCGGCAGGCCUAACACAUACAAGUCGAACGGUAGCACAGAGAGCUUGCUCUCGGGUGACGAGUGGCGGACGGGUGAGUAAUGUCUGGGAAACUGCCCGAUGGAGGGGGAUAACUACUGGAAACGGUAGCUAAUACCGCAUAACGUCGCAAGACCAAAGUGGGGGACCUUCGGGCCUCACACCAUCGGAUGUGCCCAGAUGGGAUUAGCUAGUAGGUGGGGUAAUGGCUCACCUAGGCGACGAUCCCUAGCUGGUCUGAGAGGAUGACCAGCCACACUGGAACUGAGACAAGGUCCAGACUCCUACGGGAGGCAGCAGGGGGGAAUAUUGCACAAUGGGCGCAAGCCUGAUGCAGCCAUGCCGCGUGUAUGAAGAAGGCCUUCGGGUUGUAAGGUACUUUCAGCGGGGAGGAAGGCGGUGAAGUUAAUAGCUUCACCGAUUGACGUUACCCGCAGAAGAAGCACCGGCUAACUCCGUGCCAGCAGCCGCCGUAA